UCGCGGCUAUUGAAAAAUAUAGAGAAAGCCCUAGUUUUUUCCCUCUUAGGUUACUUUGCCUCCCGAGACUUUUCAAUUAACCCAUCUCUUUCUCUGAUUCUCUCUAGUCCGCCGAUUUCACUCUCUCUCUCUCAACGAGUAGUAUUACAAGUUAGCCAUAGUUCAUCUUUAAUUACUCUGUUGUUUGUUCCUCAGUCUCUCUUUCUUUCUCUAAUCCCUUUCUCUUUCAUUCUCCCUGACGGUUUCUUGGACGAGAGGCGGGACGCGCUGGACAUUUCAAACCCCGGAUCGUCGGUUCUCCGUCUCACAAAGGUCCGAAACCUCUGAAUUUCGAUCUCUUUCUCUGAAUGAAUGUUCGCAAGGAGCUAACCGGACUUCCAGACAUCCACAUGGACUGCACCACCUCUCAGAUCCAGAUGGAUUAGGCACUCACCGCAAUGUUUCAGGAGCCAAAAAAAAAACAUGGUAAUUAACAAACAAAGGGCAUAUCUAUGGUCUUGGAUCAUUUCAAUAUCAAAAUGAUGAUCCUAAUGAGUCUAUUUCUGCUUCUCUUCGUCGAAACUUCAAUGAAGAAAACAUAGAUGUGAUUGCGCGGGACUUGGAUAUGAUUUUAACGCCGUAACGGAGAAGAUUCAGUAACUACUCUUCAAACCAACAAGUCAAGACUCCACGUGCUGAUGGAGCUUUCAUCAACUGCAAGUCCAUCUACACAUGCUGACUCAGCUGUUGGUCCAACACAAGAACCAGUGCAGCACCCAACCGCACCUCUCCGAUCAACCUAUCCAAUAUGACUUUGAUAUCUGUUGAAGUAUUUAAAUUUGGUCUCUACUAAUAUGUCGUUUCAAUGGACUUGAAUCUAUGUAAUUUGUCAUUUAUGUUUUUUUUUUGUAUCUUUAAACCUGUGUAGUUUGGAUAUAAAACUCUAUGGUGUUAAUAAGAUUAAUUGCUUUUAUAUUAUUAGCAAAUUAA